AUCGCUUCUCGGCCUUUUGGCUAAGAUCAAAGUGUAGUAUCUGUUCUUAUCAGCUAAUAUCUGAUACGGCAUCCAUAGGGUGUCAAGAUAUUAAACUAAUUUUUGCAGAGAGGCUUGUGGUUAGGAAUUUAUUCCGCCCUUGCCACGGGUUGGCCUGCUAUUGCACUACUUGCAGGAUCGGCCCACAAAAU
rnacentral:snRNA from 1 species